ensembl:rRNA 5S_rRNA 5S ribosomal RNA
GCUUACAGCCACUCUGAGAACAUCUGAUCUCGUCUGAUCUUGGAAGCUAAGCAGACCUGGUUAGUACUUGGGUAGGAGACUCCCUGGGAAUGCCAGGUGCUGUAAGCU